UGGGGAAUUUUGGACAAUGGGCGCAAGCCUGAUCCAGCCAUGCCGCGUGCGGGAAGAAGGCCUUCGGGUUGUAAACCGCUUUUGUCAGGGAAGAAAUCUUCUGAGUUAAUACCUCGGGAGGAUGACGGUACCUGAAGAAUAAGCACCGGCUAACUACGUGCCAGCAGCCGCGGUAAUACGUAGGGUGCAAGCGUUAAUCGGAAUUACUGGGCGUAAAGCGUGCGCAGGCGGUUUUGUAAGACAGAGGUGAAAUCCCCGGGCUCAACCUGGGAACUGCCUUUGUGACUGCAAGGCUUGAGUGCGGCAGAGGGGGGAUGGAAUUCCGCGUGUAGCAGUGAAAUGCGUAGAUAUGCGGAGGAACACCGAUGGCGAAGGCAAUCCCCUGGGCCUGCACUGACGCUCAUGCACGAAAGCGUGGGUAGCAAACAGGAUUAGAUACCCUGGUAGUCCACGCCCUAAACGAUGUCAACUGGUUGUUGGGAAGGUUCCUUCUCAGUAACGUAGCUAACGCGUGAAGUUGACCGCCUGGGGAGUACGGCCGCAAGGUU
rnacentral:rRNA from 1 species